rnacentral:rRNA from 1 species
UACAGAGGUGGCAAGCGUUGUUCGGAAUUACUGGGCGUAAAGAGCGCGCAGGCGGUCAGAUAAGUCGAAUGUGAAAGCCCCCGGCUCAACUGGGGAGGGUCAUUCGAUACUGUUCGACUCGAAGGCAGGAGAGGGAAGUGGAAUUCCCGGUGUAGUGGUGAAAUGCGUAGAUAUCAGGAGGAACACCGGUGGCGAAGGCGGGUCUCUGGGCCGAUACUGACGCUGAGGAGCGAAAGCGUGGGGAGCAAACAGG